GUUUGCUUACAGUAAGUAUAACUAUUCCUAUUUUACCAUUUCAGAAUCAAGCAAAACUCAGGAUUGACUCAGUCAAUCCAUGGAGGCUUAAUAGAAUGAGGCAUUUGAAAUAUUUCAAGAAUGGGCAUGAGCAGAUCAGUGAGGAUGACUCAGAAUGGUGUAACUGCAUUAUUUUGUGAGUAAAGAGCUACCUUGGUCCUCCUCCAACCUUUAGAAGUUUUAAAAAAUGAGUGUGAACUUUCAUGAAGUUAAUGCAUUUUGAACAUACCAGAAAGAUCAAACCUUAGCCCACACGUGAGAAUUAAUUUUCUUACAGCUUCAACUACUUAAAGACACCUCUUGUGAUAUAUGGACUCUAGAAUUAAUGCUCCAUUCCCAUGACAUUUUGUACCUUCAACUAGAACACCUACAACUGGCUUUGCCCGUCUUCUGCUUGAGACUGACAUCAUAUAAUGAAAGAUGAAGGAGCCAAUACGCUUCUUAAGAAGCAAGUAGUCAUGAGACUUCACCUGCCAUCACAGAUAGAGAGAGAAAAAAAGGGGAGGGGGUAGUUAGCAAUUUCAAGAGCCACAAUUUACCAUGGAAGCCUCUACUUAAUAUUCCGCUUGAUCUGCCAAGUUUAUAGCCUGGCAAAUCUGAAUACAAAUGUCGAUGCAAAUGAGGAUUCAUUAUUCUUACAAGGUCUUUGUGUUGAAGCUUAAUGUAACUUGGUUCCUAUGGUUGCUCAGGGAACGUAGAUUGCAAGACAGAAAAAAUGAUGAAAAGAACAAAAAUGGAAAGGAAAAUAAUAGAAAUAGAAGGAAAUGCUUAAAAUGCACUUUGGCUUGAAAUAUGAGGAUGCAUAGGAACAAAGCAUUGUCAUUACAAUCUCUGCUUAUUGCCAGUCCUAGUAUUUACUUCUCAUCAGCAACAGAGGAGUUAACCACUCAAGAACAUUCUACACAGACAGAAAACAUAACAAGUCUCCUUUUACUGAUUAUAACACAUUGUUCCCAUUAUAAAACCAAUUCUUCAAAUUGUCAAAUUUUUUACCAUUCUUUUAUAAUUACAGAGCUCAUGGGCUGGUGGGACCUACACAUUCCGAUCUCUAAGAAGACUGCAAAUGCAUUAAAAAACCCCACCCAGCAAUUCCUUUUCUUUCAUAUGGAUUUAUUGCAAAUAAUUCAGAAUCAACAUGUUAAGAAAGCUAAAAUUAAUAAACUACACAUUGAAAAAUCACAACACUUUAGCAUCAUUCAUUUAUUGUUUACCAUAACCCAUUGCACACAAAGGUUGCAAAACCUCCAAGUUAGAGGAAAUCCUGAGAGGCUGCAAAAUUAUGAUUAUAUCUCAUAUACCACAGUAUAUUGUUCCGAUGAAUCUUUUGCAUGGUUAGCUGUUGUUUACAUAUAAAUACCUUCUCUGGAAAUAAAAAAUGUACUGAAGGUAACAGGAGCUGCAAAGCUUAGCAGAUCCGAUGAUCCCAAGAUCAUGCAGUAAGGCUUGCUUCUUCAUCCAUAAAUAAAGCACAUUUGCAUCCAUUCAGUCAAAUUAGCUCCAUUAAAAAGGUGGUUAUAAUUAGCUCCUUUUUCUGGUUCACGGGUAAAAUUCUUGCAUGCCUGCUGUUUUGAUUAAAUCCACCAUUGUCUUCCAAUAGCUAGUGCUAAUUCUUCCAAGGAAAUCUUCAGUUGAGGUGUUAUUUUAUUCUGCACUUCCGUUAGUUGUCUAAUUUACGCCAAGUCCCUGCAGUGUUUCCUUAAGCCAUCCUCUUUGUCUUGCCUUUGAAAUUUACCAAAUCUUACAAGAAAUCAAUACUUAAUUGAUUAUUCACUUUUCUGCAGCUUCAAACAGCAAGCACGCAUAAGAUCCUGGAGUAGUCCCCCGAUUUCCAACGCAGGAGGUUGCUUGGUGGCAGAGCUCUGCAAGUGUCCAACAGCAGGCAUUCCAUGGAGCCGUGCACUGGCGUGGAGUGCCAGCCAGCGUCUGAUAAAGAAAACGAAGAUACUCUAACGAAGCAGGAAAACUUCCUGGAUGAGGCAGAUCCAUCUCAAGGCUUUGGAUAAAAGGCUGAAGCAGGAGCAAUUGGAUACCAGAACACUAUAAUUUUUUUUUUUUUUUUUUUUUUGGCAUUAUUCCUUUUGCUUUUUGCUUACCAUUUUCUUCCCAUGGCACUGAAGUGGAAUAUCCCAAGUGCCACCGAACUCAGAGAAUUCCACGCCGGAAUGGGGGUGGCAUCCUGUUAUUACAGAAAUAUCUUUCAUAAAUUAUGAUUUUUUUCAACAAAUGGAAGUAAUGCAACACCUAUUUCGUAUACUCAUCAUAUACGUUAAAUCUAACAAUGGCAUAUAAUUGAUAACAUCAGCAGGUCAAUCUACGAAUAUUCUGUAUCAUGGCAUUUCUGAGACGCAAUUUUUAAUUUAACAACAUGGAGAAUCUGGUGUGAGAGAGACCUGACUUACUGAUCUGAGAUGCAGUUUUUCAUUGUCAUGGAAUUCUUAAAUUUCAGACAGAUUCUGCAGAAGGAAACCAAAUCUAACUGGGUUCAACAAAUUCUUGAUUCAUCAGAUUUGUUUUAAGAUGUGACUUCUGGCUGUUUCAACAGAACGACACUACCUACAAGUGUGCACUAACUCAGAGAAGGUUCAGACACAGACACUCAUGUGCCGUGUUGAUGAUGUACUCUAAUAUAACCUUUUUGGAGGACAAUUUUUAAGUAUGGUAAAGUCUCUAAAAUGGGCUUAACUAUUCGUCCCACAUUGUCUUUCUAAUUGUUUUUUGGAGACAGGGUCUCACUAUGUCUGCCAAGUUGGUCUCAAACUCCUGACUUUGUCUUUAG